UACAGAGGGUGCAAGCGUUAAUCGGAUUUACUGGGCGUAAAGCGUGCGUAGGCGGUUCAUUAAGUCGGUUGUGAAAUCCCUGGGCUUAACCUGGGAACUGCAGUCGAUACUGGUGAACUAGAAUGCGGUAGAGGGUGGCGGAACUCCGGGUGUAGCGGUGAAAUGCGUAGAUAUCCGGAAGAACACCGAUGGCGGAGGCAACCACCUGGGCCUGCAUUGACGCUGAGGUACGAAAGCGUGGGGAGCAAACAGG
rnacentral:rRNA from 1 species